UGCAAAUGUGAUUUUUUUUUAACUAUUUCUUUUGUCAAAGAUGUUUCAACUACUUGAGAGUAGUUACAUUUCUGAGAAUUGGUUUCUUUUCCCCCCAAUAGGCUGCAAGGAGCUGACAACUUUCAAGUGGUCUCAGUAUUCUUGAAUGAUAAUGAAUGAGAAAGAGGCUUAUAAUUUACCAGGAACACAAUCCUUUGAGCUGGAUUAGCCCCCUCCCUGUGCAGUCAGAUCAGAGAGCUGCCAUCCUUCCUCAAUGAGGAAUUCGGAUUUCCCCUUAUGCCCUUGUUCUGUCUUCUCAGGGUCAACAAGAGAAGAGAUGAUUCUCUCAUCUCACCUGAACAUUUUCAGAGUGGUCCUUUUCCCACUUUGGGCAAUAUUUUACAGAGUAGGUGAUUUCCAUGAGUGGCUGUGUACGAAAAAAACCAAUUGUCACCUACUUAUCAACCCUCUGGCGAUUGAAGCUCUGAAUUUAUCAAGGCUGGGAAAGUUCUCUUGUAUUAGCUCCAUUUUAAGUUGCUGUUGACAUGCUCCUCUACCAGCCUGCCUCAGGCAUCAGACAUCACAAGACCAGUGUGUGCAAUUUACUAGGAGGAGGGAUCCACGAAAAGCCCUCAGAAGAGCCUUCAAAAGAUGAUACCCGGAGGCAAAGGGCAUGUUAAUCAGGACAACUGACCAUAACAAAGUGCUCAGCAUCAGCCUGAAUGAGAUUUCAAAGUAAAGGAUUUCCUUCACUCCCUUUCCAGAGGCUAUUUGGCCCAGCACCUUCUUUGAUGUGGGUACACCAUGCUGGUUAUCCUUUGCUAGCGCAAUCGAUUCCUAAGUUCUUCAGAGAGACCAUCAGAGUGUCCUUGUAUAACUUCUUCUGGCCACCACUAUUUUUGGGUCAAACCACUUCUAGACUGCCAGAAGAAUCACGGAAUCAUGGAACUUAGGAGGAACCUAAGCAGCUGUGUUGUCUUUAACCCAUACCUGAGAAGAAUCCUCACUAUAUAUGCCUGGCAAAUGGUCAUCUAGUCUCCAUUUGAAGAUCUCCAAGGAGGGGUAACCCACCAUGUCUUCAACCAUCCUGUUCUACUUUUUGAAUAAAUCUAAUUAUUAAGAUUUUUU